rnacentral:lncRNA from 1 species
CCCUUUCCAUCGAAUUGCGAUAAUUCGACCCUCGAACCCAUUAUAGAUUCUAUAAAAGAGUGGCCUGUACUCGUGGACACAACAAAAAAGGUUUUGAAAAAUUCUUUUCCGGAUGAUCAAUAUAAAACUGAGUACCGAGUUUUAAAAAACAAUUUUUAGAAAUGAAGCACAAUAGUGAAAUAAUCCGUUCACGAAACACAGGUAUAUAAAGCAGGUAAAUAUGCUUCCAGGUUACAAAUUAAUCACAAGAAUUCAAU